rnacentral:lncRNA from 1 species
GCCGGAAGCAGCCUGACCAGCCCGGGCGCGGGACCAUUCGGUAAUUCAUAACGUCAGGUGCCAGCUGGGUCAAAGACAACAGCAUCUGGAAAAAGAGAGCAGCGAGCCAGGUGUCCAUGGCCUGGAGCAUUCUGCAGCCCCCCGGCAUGCUCUGGUGUCUUGUCUGCAGGUGUACCAGCUGCCAGGAGUCUGUCUCAGUACCAAGAGAGCCUCCAAAACAAAACACAUCUCUGAUGCAUCUUCAACACCUGUGUGUUCGGUGUGCCAAUGCGCUCUCUUCGGUCACUAGAUGGCAAUAAAGACCCAACGUGGUCUUCCAGGGCAGCGGGGAGGAUAGUAGAGCUCGGCCUGGAUUUCCCCAGGAGACAGAACUGGAAGAUACUAGAGAAGACAAGAACGAGAAGCUUAGCCCUGCUGGGAGUGUUUUGGAUGCAGACUAUUUGCUGGGGUAACUGAGCUCUGAGGUAUUUAAUCUCUCUCAUUGUAAAAUCAAACAAAAAAAAAUCCUCAAA